CCCCUAGAUGUUCUGGGCCGCACGCGCGCUACACUGAACAGUCCAACAAGUCUUAACCUUGGCCGAUAGGUCUGGGUAAUCUUUGAACGCUGUUCGUGAUUGGGAUAGACCUUUGCAAUUAUGGGUCUUCAACGAGGAAUUCCUAGUAAACGCAAGUCAUCAGCUUGCAUUGAUUACGUCCCUGCCCUUUGUACACACCGCCCGUCGCUCCUACCGAUUGAAUGGUCCGGUGAAAAUUUCGGAUAGUGACGAUGCUGGCGGUUCGCCGCCGGCGCUGUCGCUAGAAGAUCUUUAAACCUUAUCAUUUAGAGGAAGGAGAAGUCGUANCA
rnacentral:rRNA from 1 species